UGAGUUUGAUCCUGGCUCGGGAUGAACGUUGGAGGCAUGCCUUGAGACAUGCAAGUUGGUCGGAAAUCAUUUCAAAUUUAAUUUCCGUAGCGGACGGGUGCGUAACACGUGAGAAUCAACCCUUAGGGACGAGGAUAAAGGUCGGUGACGAUUUCUAAAACUCUAUAAGCCGUGUCAAUUACCCAUGUAGUUGUCGGUGAAGAUUUCCUAGGGACGAGCUUGCGCCUGAUUAGUUAGUUGGCGAGGUAAUGGCUCACCAAGACUAUGAUCAGUAGCUGGUUUGAGAGAGCGGUCAGCCACAUUGGGAUUGAGAUACGGCCCAAACUUCUUCGGGGGGCAGCAGUCGGGAAUUUUCCGCAAUGGGCGCAAGCCUGACGGAGCGAUGCCUUGUGGAGGAUGAAGGAUCAUAAAGGUUCGUAAACUCCUUUUAUUAAGGAACAUUAAUUGUCGUUUCCGUAUUUAGAUAGUACUUAAAGAAUCAAGUAUCGGCUAACUCUGUGCCAGCAGCCGCGGUAAUACGGGGGAUGCAAACGUUGUCCAGUUGUAUUGGGCGUAAAGCGUCCGUAGGUGGACUGGUAAGUUUAUUGUUAAAGAUUCUGGCUCAACCAGGAAAAAGCAAUGAAAACUGCUGGACUAGAGAGUGGACGGGGUGAAGAGAAUAUCUAGUGGAGCGGUAAAAUGCGAUGAUAUUAGGCGGAACACCAGUGGCGAAAGCGCUUCACUAGACCAUUUCUGACACUGAGGGACGAAAGCUAGGGGAGCAAAAAGGAUUAGGUACCCUUGUAGUCCUAUCGCUGUAAACGCUGGGUACUAGAUGUCGCAGUGGUGCGGUGUCUUAGCUAACGCGUUAAGUACCCCGCCUGGGGAGUACGCUCGCAAGGGUGAAACUCAAAGGAAUUGACGGGACCCCUCGCAAGCGGUGGAGCAUGCUGUUUAAUUCGAUCAACGCGAAGAACCUUACCUAGAUUUGACCUUCUAUAAAUCUCCAUGAAAAUGGAGGAAACCAAACUUACAUGGUGUAAAAGCUUCUUAGGGAGCAGUAGUUACAGGUGGUGCAUGGCUGUCGUCAGUUCGUGUCGUGAGAUGUCAGGUUAAGUCCUAGUAACGAACGCAACCCUUAUCCUUAGUUAAUUAUAUGUCUAGGGAAACGGCCAACGAUCAAGUUGGAGGAAGGAGAGGAUGACGUCAAGUCAGCAUGCCCCGUAUGUCUAGGGCUACAAGCGUGCUACAAUGACUAUUCAACAAAAAGUCGCAACUUUGUGAAAGGAAGCGAAUCUACAAAUGAGGUCACAGUUCGGAUUGUAGGCUGCAACUCGGCUACAUGAAGUCGGAAUCGCUAGUAAUCGCUGGUCAGCUAUACAGCGGUGAACUUGUUUCAGGGGUUUGUACACACCGCCCGUCACACCCCUGAAGUUGACUAUACCAGGCGUCGUUGUCUUAACCACACAUAUUUUUAAGACGGAAGACAACGAUAAAGGUUGUGUCGGUAACCGAGGUGAAGUCGUAACAAGGUAGCCGUACUGGAAGGUGUGGCUG
rnacentral:rRNA from 1 species